UCCAAGAUCUUUGACAAAACAGAAAGUUUUGAUAUUGGACGGUAAUUAUUCAAUUCUGAUGGGUCUCCACCUUUAUGUAAAGGGAGAACAUAGGCUGCCUUCCAACUUUUAGGAAUGGAGUUAGAAAGAAGACUCAAAUUAAAAAUAUGCGCUCAUUAAUGAUGAACAGCUGCUGUUAACAAGCAGAAUCACCGAAGGAAAGAGAAACACAAGAACUACAACUGACUACACCCACAGAUGAAGAACAAAUCAACUGAAAUACAAGACAUUAAAUCUCUUAAGAUCUGAUUAAACAACUCCUUAAACAGCUUUACCAGCAUCUCAUUAUUAGCCAGACUGACUUUAUUUCUGUCAGACAUCUAGAGAAGCUCUUAUUGAGAAUUAGCAGAGGUUUAAACGUUAUAUUAUUUCAUUUGAAGUCACCAUCAAGGAGAUCAGUGUUUCCCUUUGUUGGGCUCUUGACCCUUGACCCCAUUGUUACGCUGGUUGUUUUAAUUGUGUGUUCAUAAAAACACAUUCUUUUGCUAUUCUUUUGCUAUAUAAAAUGGUAUAUCCUGCAUAUGCACAGUGGUUAAUAUAUUAAAAACCACAUUUCUCCUGUAUUCAUAGUGGUUGCUGCGUUGUAAUAUUUUAUUAAUGUCAAUACUUUGACACGUUUUCCUUCUGUUCAUACAGAAACAAGCAAAAAUAAACAAGCUGAGAAACUACAUCUUUACAUCUUCAUUUUUUUUAUGGUAAUUAAUUUAGCUUGAUAUAACAUCAGCAAUUACUGUAUGUCCCAAAACUAAUAGCCUAAUUUGUUUUUACAUAUACAGACAGGGCCGUGCACAGGGGGGUGGCCCGGUGGCCAGAGCCACUGCCCCUCUGCCCUCAUCGACUGAGGUGCCCCUUUUCCCCACCGCUCCGCUCAAAGCAUUCCGGUGAUUCCGCGAAUCCGCUCCAGGUUUUCCCGCUCACUCCGGAGCAUCACUCACAGUAUGUGUCUGCGGCGCUUGUGAACACGACAGUUCACGAAAGCUGUCGCAUUAACAGCUGCUGAAAAUCUUUGGAACACUACCUGUCUCAACAGCCACUGUUGAACGCUCAUUCUCGAAGUUGAAGCUGGUGAAAACAAAACUUCGUAAUGCGUGUGGACAGGAACGACUCUCUGAUCUUCUGCUUCUGGCCAUUGAAAAAGACAUCCCAAUCAUAAAAGAUGAGGUUAUUAAGAUCUUUCAGGACAUGGUACCAAAUAGAAAGGUUUUGCUGUAAAAGGGAAAGGUAAAUACCAAAAUGUAAAACGGACGGUAAAUAGUUUAUUAUCACCAAUGUGUAAUUAUGAAUCAUAAAAAAAUUUAGUUAUCAAGAUCUUUCAGGACAUAGUACCAAAUAAAAAAGUGUUGCUGUAAAUGGAACAAGUAAAUAUAAAAAAGUAUCAGUCAUGUGUAAUUGUGAUGUUCUAUCAAAACUUCUACAAUAAAGUCUGAAAUGUA